AGCGGCGGGGCUCCUACUCAAAUCCAUCCGAGGACAUCAGGAUCGGUCGGUGGUGCGCCGAAGCUCCCACCUGCGUUCACUUUCAUUCCGCGUGCGGGCUUGCCACCCAGACACUCGCCCCAAUGCUUGACUCCUUGGUCCGUGUUUCAAGACGGGUCGCCGGUGGCCAUUACGCCAGCAUCCUUGCCGGAGCGCGGUCCUCGGCCCCCCCGGGGGCAUGGCGCCGCGGGCUAUAAUACGCCGCGAGGGCGCUACGUUCCCGCGGCCUUUGUCCCCCCGAGAGAGCCGAUGCUGGCCUGCGCCCCGCUGGCGUGCCCCGGCGCGCGAGGCGCCGGGUGGUCCGCGGGGCGCAAGUCUGGCCACAGGCGCUUCCCUUUCAACAAUUUCACGUACUGUUUGACCCUCUUUUCAAAGUGCUUUUCAUCUUUCGAUCACUCUACUUGUGCGCUAUCGGUCUCUGGCCGGUAUUUAGCUUUAGAAGAAAUUUACCUCCCAUUUUGAGCAGCAUUCCCAAACUACUCGACUCGUCGAAGGAGCUUCGCAGAGGCUAGGCGGCCGCCCGUACGGGGCUCUCACCCUCUCCGGCGUCCCGUUCCAGGGAACUCGGACGGCGCCGCGCCAGAAGCGUCCUCUCCAAAGUACAACUCGGGCCCGCGGGGGGCCAGAUUUCAAAUUUGAGC
rnacentral:rRNA from 1 species